GCCACUCUAGCUCAGUUGGUAGAGCAAUCGCUUCGUAAGCGAUAGGUCGUCGGUUCGACUCCGACGAGUGGCU
rnacentral:tRNA from 1 species